rnacentral:rRNA from 1 species
AGAGUUGAUUAUGGCUCAGGAUGAACGCUAGCGACAGGCUAACACAUGCAAGUCGAGGGGCAGCAUAAAAGUAGCAUACUUGGUGGCGACCGGCGCACGGGUGGGUAACGCGUAUGCAACCUACCUAUCAGAGGGGAAUAACCCGGCGAAAGUCGGACUAAUACCGCAUAAAACAGGGGCACCGCAUGGUGAUAUUUGUUAAAGAAAUUCGCUGAUAGAUGGGCAUGCGUUCCAUUAGGUAGUUGGUGAGGUAACGGCUCACCAAGCCGACGAUGGAUAGGGAACUGAGAGGUUGGUCCCCCACACUGGUACUGAGACACGGACCAGACUCCUACGGGAGGCAGCAGUGAGGAAUAUUGGUCAAUGGGCGGGAGCCUGAACCAGCCAAGUCGCCGUGAAGGAAGAAGGAUCUAUGGUUCGUAAACUUCUUUUGCAGGGGAAUAAAGUGCAGGACGUGUCCUGUUUUGUAUGUACCCUGAGAAUAAGGAUCGGCUAACUCCGUGCCAGCCGCGGC